rnacentral:rRNA from 1 species
GAGACAGCAGCAGCCGCGGUAAUACGUAGGUGGCAAGCGUUGUCCGGAAUUAUUGGGCGUAAAGCGAGCGCAGGCGGUUAGAUAAGUCUGAAGUUAAAGGCUGUGGCUUAACCAUAGUACGCUUUGGAAACUGUUUAACUUGAGUGCAAGAGGGGAGAGUGGAAUUCCAUGUGUAGCGGUGAAAUGCGUAGAUAUAUGGAGGAACACCGGUGGCGAAAGCGGCUCUCUGGCUUGUAACUGACGCUGAGGCUCGAAAGCGUGGGGCGCAAACAGGAUUAGAUACCCCAGUAGUCCCUGUCUCUUAUACC